AUGACCUGUCUGCCCAUUGACCCACAGGCCCCCCACUGUCCCUGCCACUCACUCGAUCUAGACACACUGUUCCUGCAGCAUACCAGUCCUUCCACCUCAGGGCCUUUGCACUUGCUGCUUCUUCUUCCUGAAAUGCUCUCUGCCCAGACUCCACAUGGCUCACUCUCUCACUUCCUCUGGUUUCUUUGCCCUUCACCUGCCAAAGACUCUCUAAGUAGCACCGUGCCCUUCACUCUACCUACCAGCACUUCAUACGCAUCCAUGUGUUUAUUGCCUGCUCAGGGACGUAGCUCCAGAAAUCAGCGCCCUUUCCUCAGCAAAUUUUCCCUCUCUUUGGAAUCAUUCCCAUCAUUCAUUUCUCUCUCUCCUUUUUUUGGCUGUCUGCAGCAUGUGGAAGUUCCCAGGCCAGGGAUUCUGAGCCACCAGGGAACUCCGCUUUUCUCUGUGAGCCCACUUCUUCCUCAGCACUGCUCCAUUUCUCCAUGGCCCUUGGCAGCCACACCUCCUGAAAGAGCUGACUUUAUUCAUCUGUGUCCACAUCCCCCUCCUGUUCUCUCUCGAACCCACCCUGCCAGGCUGUGGCCCUUGCCACCCCCUGAACCUGCUCCUGCCAAGACCUGCAGGGGCUGCCAGGGUGCUCUCACCCAGGGUGCAGUGGCUCCUCCCCUGCUCUGGCCUCUCCCUCCCAGCAUUUGGCUGGCUCCUCCUCCCUUCCAGGAAAAGGCCCAGCCUGCUGGACCCUUUGUCCACGUUCCCCGGGUGGGAUUGUUGUUGCUUGUGUUUUAUUUAAUUAAUUUAUUUUAUUCAUUUAUUGGCCAUACCCAUGGCAUAUGGAAGUACCCAGGCCACGGAAUGAAUUCAAGCCACAGCCACAGCUGCAGCAACAGUGGGUCCUUAACCCACUGUGCCACAGUGGGAACUCCUCUUUGCUUCUUUUUGUUGUUCUUGUUGCUUUUUAGGGCUGCACCUGCAACAUAUGGAAGUUCGCAGGCCAGGAGUCCAAUCGGAGCUGUAGCUGCCGGCCUAUGCCACAGCCACAGCAAUGCCAGAUCAGAGCCACGUCUGCGACCUACACCACAAGUCAUGGCGACGCUGGAUCCUUAA
rnacentral:lncRNA from 1 species